AAGAAGCGAAACCGCGAGGUGGAGCAAACUAUAAAAGACGAUCUCAGUUCGGACUGCAGGCUGCAACUCGCCUGCACGAAGUUGGAAUUGCUAGUAAUCGUGGAUCAGCAUGCCACGGUGAAUACGUUCCCGGGUCUUGUACACACCGCCCGUCACACCAUGGGAGCCGGUAAUACCCGAAGUCAGUAGUCUAACCGCAAGGAGGACGCUGCCGAAGGUAGGAUUGGCGACUGGGGUGAAGUCGUAACAAGGUACC
rnacentral:rRNA from 1 species